rnacentral:tRNA from 2 species
UGACGUGUAGCUCAGAGGUAGAGCGGUCGGCUGUUACCCGACUGGUCGAUGGUUCGAUCCCUCCGCGUCAGCCA